rnacentral:lncRNA from 1 species
UUGGGUGGGAAGGGUUGGAACAAGGGUUGGAGAGAGAGAGAGAGAGAGAGAGAGAGUCUUUUGUUUUAAAAUUUAGAAUUUAAAUUUUGUAAUUGUAAAUUGAAAAGUUUGAAGUUUAAAAUUUAAAUUUAUUAUUAUAAAUUUUUAAAUUUUAAAUUUGAUUUUUGUACAUUUUAAAUUUAAAUUUGGUAUUAAAUUUAAAAUUUAAAAUUUAAAAUUUAAAAUUUAUAAAUUUGAAUAUUUAAAUUUUAAAUUUUAAUUUUAAAAUUUAAAUUUUAGAAAUUAAAAUUUUUAAUUUAAAUGUCACGCCCCGGAUUACUCGUUUCUCCGGGCACGCCGAUAAAUCCGCCGUAUACAAAGAAAUUUUUUCUGUAUACGAAGCGAUAGCUGUACCUGUACCUAUAAUCAUACAAUACUACAACCACUAGUACAGAGCUGCUAAAUAGAAAAACAUAUAUAAACACAUCGGUCCAAUAUACAUACGUAGGAUUCUGAUACAAAACACUCGCCCCGCGAGGCAUAAACAUCAGUAUGUAUAAGAACAAAAAACUACAACUACCUAUAGCUAGUGUAUAUCUCUAGAUCAGCAGCAAUUGGGAAGGGAUCUAGCUCGCGACUCCAUUCCCACGAUCAGUCUCCGCGACAGCAGCAGCCGAAGAAGAGGGCUCUGCAAAAGAUCCACAACUCGGCAUGAGAACUACUGCAAAAAGUAGUCCUCAGUCGAUACCGCUACCGACCUCAACGGCUUACCCACUAAGUCUACAGAAUGUAUGCUCAAUGAUAGCAAAGGAACUGAAAAUAAUUUAUAACUAUAUGCCAUUAUACUAUUAUGAUCCAACACUAACAAUCUGUAGAGUAAUGCAAGCUCUGACCCAAUCUCACUAGGGACUGUGAAUACAUCCGUCCCACCUGUAGAAGCUAUACAACUACCUCCACGCUAAGCCAUCCGCGGAAAGCAAGUCCAAUAAGGACACAACGAUACCAAUGCAAACGCACUAAGCACGACUCCGGAGUGCAACUUGUGGGCGCUACCCAACCGAGUAUACAAGCGUAUCUCUGUCGAGCUCAAUCAGGCUCUCACAGGCUGAAGUCAAAGUAAACAGGGUCUAAGAACCAAACGCACGUGCCCUCGGUACAAUCUGAUGCAAAUACAGCAAUCUGGGUCCACCGUCAACCUCAACGGCACUCGACAUUCCGGAACAGCCUAAACACUGCUGUAAAAAUAUGCUCGGCAUCUCAGCACGAGCAUAAAUGCAUUCUACACUAUCUUGGGUAUCCACCGCCCACAAACUGCGGCGAUGCAAAAAAACUACGGCUCCUAGAGCUAAAUCUGAUAGUUUCAGCAUAUGACGGUGUAGAAUCACUAGUUUUCUCCCAAGUCAAUUCUAAGUCUAACAUGUGUAUUUAAACUACUAUUCUAGGCUCCAAUUCAGAAUUUAGAAUCAUGCAAAUCAUAGAAUUGAGCUAUUAAUAUGAAGAACAAAAAUAAAACACAUGCUAACAACAUAUAAGCUUAGGAGGUAAUUCCGCAAAUUCCGGUAAGCUUCAUUAACCCACCUCUAGCGCUAAUCCACGGCAGCGCAAGGUCGCUGGAAAACCCUGCCAAGCUCAGCUACAAACCAGCACACAAGAUCUCUAAGGAUCUACACACAAAAAUCACCAAAACUCUAUAAAUAAUUCAAAAUUCAGCACUUAAGUUUAAAUUAGCCUCAAUCUCAAUGUCAACUUCACCUUCCAAUCUUCAAAUCAGGUGAGAAAAGGUCUCAAAUCCAGUGAAUUAUGAUGGAAUAUCAUCCUCUGGUCCAUAAUCGAGCUUCCUCCAAAGAUUGUAUCAAGAAAACCCACAAACUCACAAUUUCAGUCCAAAAACACCAGCAGCACAACAAAAUGCCAAAUUGACCAAGGUAACCUCAAUCAAAUAAUGUCAAAAUGGGCUCCACGAAAUCUUCAGGAAGUCUUCUAACCAACAAACUAAAUUUCGUGGCAAACGGAGCUUCCUACUUCGCACACGAGCCAAAACGCCAAAGGUCGCCACUGAAAUUCUGCUGAAACUGCAGUCCUCAAGGUGGAAAGUGUGCAAAUUGGGAGAUUGGAGGGGUUGGAAAGCAAAAUAGGCCUUCACUAUGAAGAAGAGGUGAAAAAGGUUCACAAGGGUCAUAGACCACCUAUUUAUAGUGAGGUAGAGGGGUCAGAUAAGCCCUAAGAACAAAAAACACAAACCUGUUGUUCCUGCAGAAAUGGGCACUUUCGAGCGCCUGAAACCAUGUUCUGGGCAUCCGAAACCUCCAAGCUACACAAAGCUUCCUAUUCGGUUCUUCCGCGCGUGGUGUGUUUUACCCUUAUCCUUGUCUUGCGGAACUCACCUACCACAUACACGUGUCAGCACGUGAUUUUCACAAGGUGAACUUUCGGACCCACUUUUGGGCGCCCGAAACCAGGAUCCGAAUUGGCUCCUAGUUAUUCUCAAUUCAACACUCGAGUUUUGGGCGACCCAGACCCUGUUCUGGGAGCCCGAAACUGGCAAAACUCCAGUUUUGCUCCUUUGAGUGCGCCAAGUCCAUUUCUGCAUUCAUUUCGUGCUGAAACGACUUCGACUCAGUCUGACACUCUCUAGAUGUGUCGACCAGUCACUAAUACUGUAGCUAAUCCUAUCCAAACUUCCGUAACACUACAUUAAAAUUAUAAGUUUAAAAUUUAAAAAAUUUAAAUUCAAUUAUAGGGGUAAUAUUAUUAUUUUCUAUUUAUAACCAUCAACUAUUUCUUUUAUUCCCAAUAACCAUCCAAACAUUCAUCCAAAUAAAAAAAUACCUUUGUUCUUACAAAAAUUCAUACUUGUACCUAUCCCCGGUAUAACUAGUUCCUACUAAUUUCCGAUCCAAAUGGAGCCUAGGGGUUUCAGAAUCCUUUGUUCAUCGCUAUGUUCGUAGAAGUGUGUACUCGCUUUUUUUCGUUUCAUGUCACCGCAAGUUCAAAUAAUUUUUGAUUUAGGCUGUAUUUAGGUAAGGUAUUAGCUUUUUGUUAUCUUGGAUCUUAUUAAUAAUAUUUGUUCUCAAUUUGUGAUUUGAAUUGUCUCGGAAGCCAUUAGAUUAGAUUUAGAAGUGAAUGCAAUAUAAUUAGAGAUGCGUGUAAUGAAAAAUGCAAUAGUUAUUUAGCAGAGGGAGUGCUCUUUUUUUUUUUUAAAAAAAAAUUAAGAUAUUAUCUAAUAUCGGCGAAAUUGUCUUUAUUAAUUUUUAAUUUUUUUUUCAAAUAUUCUCUAAAUUUCAGAGCUUUCUAAUUGGAGAUUUAGGAUUUAGAGUGGUAUUUUGAAAAUAGAAGGGUAAAUUUAAAAAUUUUGAAUGGUAAUGAGAGGUAUAUAAGCAAACCUCUUGUUGUUUAUGUUCAAUUUGGGCUCCUUGUCCCUUGUCUCAAAUUUUGAUAACAUUUGACUGCAAGACCGACCGUCCCUAGCGCAAGUGGUAAAGAACUUAGUGGUUGGUAUUCGAGAUCCAAAGAUUGAAUUCUAAUUGAUUCAUAUUUUCAGCUAAGUUUAUUUUUUAAAAAAAUAAAACGAAAUAGGUAGUAUGCUAUCUUUCUUUGAAAAACAAAAAAAAAAAAAAAAAAAAUUGAUUGCAACUACAACAUACCAAAUAGUCUAUUGCCAUUUUUCUUUAACUUUACGUGUAGUUGCAUCUACGUAGUUUGAUUCAAAUCGUAAUUGUAACGUGUGGGGUUCUCAAGUAACGUGUGGGGUUCUCAAUUUAGGGUUCUCUCACUUACUCAAGAAAAUCCAUUCAAAGGUCCAUUCUCCCCUUUCUAUUAUUAGGUUCCCACACUUGGGCUAUGGACUUUGAAUGUUUGGGUUGGGUCUAAGUUUGGUUUUAGUAAAAAUCAAAACUCUUAUUUUCCUACUGAGUAAUGAUACUGAUACGCUUUAAGGGCCCAUUUGGUUCAAGUUAUAUAAUAUUACAGAGUAUUUCGAAAUAUCCAGGUAUCUUGGAUUUCUAAAAGAGAUUACUACUUAUGUUGCAUUAGCAUGUUUGGUUUAAUAAAGUAAUGUAAUGCUGUAUUGCAGUGGUUAUAGCAUUAAUAUGUUUGUUUCUGUCUAUAAAAUUCAAUAAUGUAGACAAUAAAGUAUAGUUUAUUCCAAAAUUGUCCUUAACCAUAUUUUGUAAACUUUUUUUCUACUGUUCACAAAUAAUAUUUUUUUACUAAAUUUUAUUUUAAAUAAUUUAAUUUUUUAAAAUUUAAAAUUUAAAAUUUAAAAUUGAACAAAAAUAUAAAUUAAUAUUUUAAUUUAAAAUAGAAAUAUGAAAUUUAUAAAUUUAAAACCCAAAAUAUAAAUAUAAAUAUAAAUAUAAAAUUAAAAAUUAAAAAUCUAAAUUUAAACUUUAGAAAUUAAAAUACAAAUUUAAAAUUUAAAAUUUAAAAUUUGAAAUUUAAAAUUUAAAAUUUGAAAUUUGAAAUUUGAAAUUUAAAAUUUAAAAUUUAAAUUUAAAAUAUAGAAUUUGAAAUUUAAAAUCUAAAAUUUAAAUUCAAAUGUCACGCCCCGGAUUACACAUUCUCCGGGCACGCCGACAAAUCCGCCGUAUACAAAGGAAUUUUCCCUAUAUACGAAGCGAUAGCUGUAUCUGUAACAUAUACAAUACUACAACCAGUAGUAUAGAGCUGCUAGGAAAUAAAACAUAACCAGAUCUAAAACCAAUUUCCAUAUACAUACAUACAUCCAGGUGUACAAAUACUCAGCUCUGGCGAGAUACAACAAGUAUGUAUAAGAAACUCAAAAACUAACACUACCUGCGACUGGAAACUCUCGAACAGCAGCAAUUGGGAAGGGCUCUAACUCGCAACGCCCUUACCACGAUCUAUCUCGGAGGAUGCAGCAGCCGGAACCGAAGGCUCUGCAAAAGAAGGGUAACAACUGGGCGUUAGAAAUACUAUAAAAAUAAGUAGUCCUCAGUGGGUGCCGCCCUCACAUCAUUGGUCCACCCACUAAGUCUACAGGAGGAAGUAAGGAUAAUAGAAAGAGUUGAAAGAAAUCUGCAGCUAAAAACCACUACACUAUCCUACUCUACAUUAACCACUGUAGAAAAUGUCAAUCCUGACCCAAUCUAAGUGGGACUGUAAGCCUACCUGUCCCUGGGACUGUGAAUACACCCGUUCCGCCCGGUUGUGACUAUAUAGCUACCUCCACACUAAGCAGUCCGUGGAGAGCAAGUCCAACCUGCACGAACGACAUCAACGCGAAAGCACAGCGCCCGUCUCUGGAGUGGCACUCGUGGGAGAAACCGAACUGAGUAUGUAGCGUAUCUCUGUUGAGCUCAAUCUGGCUCUCACAAGCCUAUGUCAAGUAACCCAAUCUAACUGGUCUAACAACGAACAGGUCACGUGCGCUCAGCACAAUCCGAUGCCAAAACGGCGACAUGGGUCCACCGUCAACCCCGACGGCACCCAACAGUCUGGAACAGUUUAAACACUACUGUAAAAAUACACUCGGCAUCCCAGCACGAGCAUAACUGAAAUCUAAACUAUUUGGGGUAUCCACAACGCCGAUAUUGCGGCGAUACAAAAAUAACAACGGCUUCUAGAGCUAAAUCAGGUAGUUUAAGCAUAUGACGAAUCAUAAUCGCAGGUUUUCUCCUAAGUCAUAUCCAAGUCCAACAUGUGUAAAUAUCUAGUCAUAAUAUAAGCUCCAAUUCAUGCUUUGAAGAUAAAUCUACCAAAUCCGCGAAUCGAGCCAAUUCAAUGUUCUAAACAACACGAUGCACACAUGUUGACUAUAUAGCUACUUAGAGAAUAAACCGACGAUUAACCCACCUCAAACGCUAAUCCUAAUCUGACGCGACGUCGAGAACGGCGGAAUCGCACCCUCGCCCGGCGUCCCCGCGACGCUACGACGACGAACGUACGCUCGAACGACUCCGCGGCGCGACGUCGACGACGAUCCACACCACCCGAGCUCCCCCGCAAUCGGACCAAGCUAGAGAAAGAGAAGGAAGAAGUGGAUCAGUAAAAUCUCUCUCCCGAGCUCAGCCCAUGCAUAAAUAUCAAAGGGGGAGAGAGGUGACACAACUCCGGAGCGCAUCGUUCGAGGGGGAGCUACCGCCACCGAGCAAGGACAUAAAGCGAGUAUGAUCCAAUCCUUAACUCUAAGGAUGUCAAGUUCAAUCCGUUCCUUAACUGUAAGGAAAUUAUGCAUAAAUGACCCUUAGCUCUAAGGUUGUAUGUCAUUGUGUCUCAAUCUCAUGUUCUUUGCAUUCUUUGUUUUCGAUCAUGUCAUUAUACUAACUCUAGUAUUCUUUAUGCCACACUUGAGGCUAACUCUAGCAUUUAUUGUUCUUGGUGCCACACUUAUUCUCUUUGAUGCCACAACUAACGCUAGUGUUCCAAUGCUCUAGCAUUCAUAUCCUCUUUAAUGCCACACACAAACUAACUCUAGUGUCAUCUUUGCAUUUACUAAUGCCACUCGAUCUACAUGUCAUCGUGUCACAUUUAUUCUCUUACCUCAACUAGGUUUUCAUGUCACAUCUCAUGCAUACAUAGGACUCUUAGGUUCUCAACCAUCUGAUAAUGCAUUUGUACUUACAACAUGCAAACAUUCACAUAAUUAUGAUUUCAAUCACCCUACAAUGCAUGCAACAAUAUAUAUAUAUAUAUAUAUGUAUGCUCAAUGAGUGACACAUUAGACAUAAAAAGAAUUUCAAGGAGUUUGAAAAGCAUCACCCACCUCGUAGGCUUGCUAGGGUGUUACGGUUAAUUUCUCGAAAUUUUCGGACUCCUAUUCCGCGAGAUGCGGCAAUCUGUACCAAAAUCGACCUUUUUGUCAAUAUCUCCGCACACACAUGUCGGAUCACCGAACCGAGCGCACCAAUGCGUCGGAAAUACCCCCAAUUAGGUUUCUAUACGAUCAAUUUUGAACUAAACCUCUUCAAUGCAAAAGCUCCAAAUUUGGAUGCCCUAGCUUUCAUAAACCAUCAAACCCUUGGUUUGAUCUCUAUCGUAAGCAAAAGAAAGCUUAAUAACACCUAGGGAUUUCAUCAAAACCAUUUCUAGGUCCAUUCAAACCAUCAAAACCAUUUCUAGGUCCAUUCAAACCCACCUUAGGGUUCUACCAUGAGAGGGGGAAGAAGCUUACCUCUAAACUUUCCUUUCCUCAAGCUAAUGGUAAAGGAGAGGGAGUUCCUUCACUCCUUCGCCUUCUUCUCCACCUUCUUCUCCUUCUUCUAGAGAGAGAGAGAGAGAUAUAUGAGAGAGUGUGUGGGAGAGAAAUGAGAGAAAGAGCUCUCUUUCCCCUCUACAUAACCCAACUUGAUGCAUAAUUGCAUUUGGGCCCCUAAACUUUGCAUCAUAUGCACUUCUCAUCCUGGGCAGUUUUCGGGCACAGAGACCGGUCUCUCCAGCAGGGAUCGGUUUCCGAGAGCACUCCUCGCAGUUUACGUAGCCGGGGUCCGAUUUCACAUUGAGGGACCGGUCUCACGGGGACCGGUCUCUCCCCGCAGGGACCGGUCCCCAAGAGCACAGCUCUCAGGACUUAGUCGAUUUUUCCACUUCUGAGAUUUCAUGCGUACGGGGACCGGUCUCUCUCCGGAGGGACCGGUCCUCGAGAGCUAGUUUUUCAAUACUUAGCCAUUUUCACAACCUUCUCACCUACGGGGACUAGUCUGUCCCACCAGGCACCGGUCCCCGAGAGCUAGGCUGCGCGCAGAGCUUUCUGUUCAACCCAAUACGCGUACGGGGACCGGUCUCUCCCAGCAACGACCGGUCCCCGAGAGCUCAAAAGCUCCAGUUUGCAUAUUUUUUAUUCACUAGCUCUCGAAGAUCCCCAACAAUACAUUUUUGCCCUUUUUGACGCCUUCGGCCUUUUCGAAGCUACCAACCUUGCACUUUGGUCAAUUUGACUAAAGUUUAAUAUUUGUUUACCGAGGUUUCGGUAUAUUAUAUUCUCCACCCCUUAAAAUAAUUUCGUCCACGAAAUUAACCAUACCUCAACUCGUCGACUCAAAUAAGUGUGGAUACUUCUUCCGCAUAGUCUCCUCAAGCUCCCAAGUAGCUUUACGCACCGCAUGAUUGCUCCACUGGACUUUCACAUAAGGAAUUUUGCGACUCCGCAAUUUUCUUUCUUCUCUAUCGAGGAUGCACACCGGGUACUCCUCAUACGUCAUAUCCUCACAUAACUCCACGGGCUCAUACUCUAAUACAUGUGUCGAGUUGCGAAUGUACUUUCGGAGACUUGACACAUGGAACACAUUGUGAACUCCCGCGAGUCUCGGUGGUAGUGCGAGCUUGUAUGCCACCGCACCCACACGCUCUAGUAUCUCGAAUGGUCCGACAUAACGGGGGCUCAGCUUCCCGCGGACCCCAAAUCAUCUCACUCCUCGUAUAGGCGAGACUUUUAAAAACACGCGGUUUCCUACCGCGAACUCUAAGUCUUUUCUACGCUUGUCGGCAUAACUUUUCUGCCUUAAUUGCGCCGUCGCUAACUGUUGACGGGCAAGGCGAACUUUUUCCUACGCUUCCCGCACUACAUCCGGGCCAAGAGCAACUCUCUCGCCCACGUCGCUCCAAUGAAUAGGAGAGCGACACUUUCUUCCAUACAAUGCUUUAAAUGGCGCCAUCACGACACUUUCUUGAUAACAGUUAUUAUACGCGAACUCCACCAUUGGCAAGAAAUCAUGCCAACCGCCCUUGUAAUCAAGUACACACGCUCGAAGCAUAUCCUCAAGGAUUUGUAUUGUUCGCUCCGACUGACCGUCACUUUGAGGAUGAAAUGCCAUACUGAAAUCAAGCCGUGUGCCCAAUGCGUCCUACAAGCUCUUCCAAAAAUGAGAUGUGAACCUAGGGUUUCGAUCCCAUACAAUAGACACCGGAACCCCAUAAAGUCUCACAACCUCGUCGAGAUAGACUUGAGCUAGCUUAUCUCCCGACCAUGUAGUGUGAAUCGGCAAGAAAUGAGCUGACUUCGUCAGUUGAUCCACUAUCACCCAUAUCGCGUCGUGUCCAUCUUGAGAUCGAGGCAAACCGGUAACGAAGUCCAUCGCUAUAUCUUUCCAUUUUCAAACGUGUAUUUAUAGACUUUGAAGCUUUCCCGCCGAAAACCGACGCUCCGCUUUCACUUGUUGGCACGUGAGACACUGCGCCACGAACUCCCCAAUAUCUCUUUUCAUGCCCGGCCACCAAUAAUGCACUUUUAAGUCCUUGUAUAUUUUAGUGCCGCCCGGGUGUAUGCUAUAGAGAGACUGAUGCGCCUCUUGCAUGAUCUCCCUUCGAACAUCUUCAUUCCUAGGCAUGCACCAUCGAUUCUGAAAUCGAAGUGCGCUAUCGGCUCCAAUGCCAAAAUCCUCAACACUACCGUUUUCAACUUCAGUUUGCACCUUUUGGAGAUAAAGAUCCGAAGCUUGUAGUUCCUUGAUCUUCUCUAACAAGGUCGGUUGUACAACUAACGCGGCAAGUGUUGCCGGCACUCCCGGCGCUACUAUCUCAAGACCCAACCGUUGCAUCUCCUUUUGAAAUAACAGUUGUGACGUGAUUGCCAUCGCCAAGUUUUCCACUGAUUUUCUACUUAGCGCAUCGGCUACAACAUUGGCUUUUCUCCGGUGGUAUAGUAUAGUAACGUCAUAGUCCUUCAACAACUCUAACCACCGCCGCUGCCGCAUAUUCAAUUCCUUCUGGGUGAACAAGUAUUUGAGACUCUUGUGAUCGGUGUAGAUCUCACAAUGUUCACCAUACAAGUAAUGCCUCCAUAGUUUUAGCGCGAAAAUCACCGCAGCUAGCUCAAGGUCAUGUAUCGGGUAGUUCUUCUCGUAAAUCUUCAAUUGUUGAGAAGCAUAAGCUAUCACUCGACCAUUUUGCAUCAAAACUCACCCGAGAUCAACAUACGAGACAUCGCUGUACACUACAAAAGUCUCGCCCGAAGUUGGCAAGGCCAGCACUGGGGUCGACGUCAACCUGUUCUUCAAUUCUUCGAAGCUCCGAUCGCAAUUGUUGCUCCAGAUAUACUUUACUCCCUUGUGGGUAAGGCGCGUUAGUGAAGUAGUUAUUUUGGCAAACCCCUCCACAAACUGCCGGUAGUAGCCCGCGAGUCCAAGAAAACUGCGGACCUCCACUACACUUAUCGGGCGAGGCCAAUCCUUUAUUGCCUCGACUUUCUUCGGAUCUACCGAAACUCCGUCGCCCGAUAUCACGUGACCCAAGAAUGUGACCUCUGAGAGGCAAAAGUCACAUUUCUUCAACUUAGCAUAGAGCUUCUCUUGUCGGAGUAUUUGCAGCACAGCUCUCAAGUGCUCCUCGUGCUCCUCCUCGCUUUUCGAGUAGACCAAUACGUCAUCAAUGAACACUACGACGCACCGGUCCAACAACGGCCUGAAGACUCGAUUCAUCAAGUUCAUAAAUACUGCCGGGCCAUCAGGAAGCCCAAACGACAUUACCGUGAAUUCAUAAUGGUCAUACCGCGUACGGUACGCCGUUUUGUGCACAUCCUUCGGCCUAAUCUUCAAUUAAUGAUAUGUAACAUACCAGAUUUUGGUAUAAAAAUAAAAAUAAAUAAAAAUAGUGUGAGAUACUAUUUUUAUUGAAUUUAGAGAAGUAAAACAUAAGUUAGAAGUGACUUAUGCUGAAAUCGGAAUGAAAACAGAAGAUUUAGAAUUUUCUGUUGGAAACGGAACAGAUAUGCAGAAAAUGCACAGUCUCAGAAAAUUAUAAAAACCGGAGGAUAAGCCAGAAUUAUUUUUAUGAGGCUAGAUUUAAAGUUUCAUAUUAUUCUGGCACCCGGAAGGUAGAAAAUAAAAUCCGACAGUUAUCUAAUAAAGAUUUCAGUUCGAUAAAGCUUUCGCUGACCAAACGUGAUCGAAACUAAAAAACUUAAGAUAUAUUCUUUCUUAGUAAGGAAAACCGAACCUGACUGUCAAAUUUGAGCACAAACGGACAUUCAGAAGGGCUCCGACGUGUCCAAACUGCUAAACUGAGCUGGAGAUGUAAUUUCUAAUAGUUGCAAGGGGUUCUUGUGAAUUUGGCCACUUGUCUCCUUCUUCUCCUCAACCGUAUGCGGCACACACACACACCACACACGCAUAGAGAGGGAGAAAGAGAAACCUCCCUUUCUCUCUCUAAAUCUCUUCCAAAAUUGGUGGAUUUGGUGGAGAAGAUGCUUGCGAACGCGUUGGAGGCGGCGGUUCGAGCUUUCGUGCGGCCGUUGGAGCGGCGUGCUAUCGUCGCGGCGUUCAUAUUGUGGUAAGCUUUUGGGAUUUGACUUAAUCCUUAGCUUUAAGUGUUCUAAUAGCCUCUAAUGAGCAUUGUUAGCAUGUUGCUCUACUUAAUUUGGAUUAUUUGGAGGUUAAUUGCAUAUUAGGGCUCCGAAUGUCGUUUUGUAAAAUAGUAGGGUUUGAUCUCAUUUGACCCUCCGUAAAUCUAAUUGCUAGGUAAACGAACGUGUUGGCGAAGUCGGUUCGACGAUUCGUCGAGCCUACGCGAAGUUAUUAAAGAAACGGACGUUUAGGCUUCAUUUCUUCCUGGAAGGCCGAGGCGAUAUCGUAAAAUCAUGAAAACGGAUUUCGAGUACCGUGGCACAUAACUGAAGACCUAUAAUUUUCGGAGCCGCGAUUCGACGCACGGUUGGUGAGUAUUAGCAAAAUCGGGCCGAACCGGACACGGGUACCGUGGGAGGCCGAUUGCAAGUGUCGACAAGCAAUCAGAAAGCGAUUUGAGGUGGGUUGUGUUUACCAAAGCGACUAGGUCGCCUGUAUGUCUAAGAUGAGUGUUUAUCCUUGAUGCAUAUUAUGGUAGCUAGUGGUAGAAUGUAUAAAUACAUGAAAUGAAUGCUAUGUUAGGCUACCAAAUAAUGCAUAUGGUCAUAAUGUGAGAAUGCUAAGUAAUGCAUAAUGACAUAGCGUAAAUAAUGCUAAGUGGAAAGCAUAAGUAAAUGACAUAUGUUAGUCAUGUUGCAUGUAUAGAAAUGCUAAUGUAAUAAUACUAAGUGGAUACAUGUAGUAAAUGCUAAAGGNUAAGUGGAAAGCAUAAGUAAAUGACAUAUGUUAGUCAUGUUGCAUGUAUAGAAAUGCUAAUGUAAUAAUACUAAGUGGAUACAUGUAGUAAAUGCUAAAGGGAAUGCAUGUUAAUGAUGUAAUAUAGAAAUGCUAGAAUGCAUGAUGAUGUAAUAUAAAUGAUACUAGUUAAAAGCAUGAGGUAAAUGACAUUUGCAUGUUAACGUAAAGUAGAGAACAUGCUAGUUGUAAUGCAUAAUGAUAAGUUGUAAAGAAUGUAUGACAAGUAUGUUAUGUAAAUGCUAGAUAAUUGCAUGAUGCAUGAUUAGCAUUGUAAGAGGAUGCACGAAUUGGAUCGAUAACUCUAGAGUAGAGACAUCGACAUUGGACAUCUAUAUAUUAGAUCAAGUGGCAUUUAACCUAGUGUGAGUGAACAUAGGUUGAACAUGAAUGAUAUGAACCUAGUGUUAGUAAACCUAGGUCGGACAUGAAGGAUCACAUUGAACCUAGUGUUAAUAAACAUAGGUUGGGCAAGGGUGGAAAUUAACCUAGUGUUAAAGAACAUGGGUUGAGGUGAUAAGUGGCAUGGAACCUAGUGUUAAAGAACAUAGGUUAAGAUUGAACCUAGAGUUAAAGUAACCUAGGUUGUGAGAUAAAGAUAGUGAACCUAAGGCCAAGUGGACCUAGGAUGGAAAGGACAUUGGACCUAGAUAAGUCAUUAUUAUAGGGUUAAAGCCAACCCUUGAGUUAUGUGAAAUGGAUUUCAGAAUCCUAGAGCUUAUGGAACACCCAAGGUGGUGUUGGGCGUGUGCGACGAUUUUUCCGUCCGGGGCUAUACCAACGACGUGGCGUGUGCGACGAUUUCGCCGCUGGAUGGGUGAGCUGAAUUUUGGUUUAUACCGGUUGAGCCGGGUUGUGGAUUAUACCGCUGGUUGACUCGAAUCACUGACGUGGCGUGUGCGACGAUUUCGCUGCAGGGUGGCUAGGUCAUAUAGCGCGGUGAGUUGUGGAAAGCUGAGGUGCAUGUGUGAGUUCCUUCACCUCGAGCUAGACAGAGCGCGGAUUAUCCGCCAUUGAUUAACUCAAGACCAAGUCGAGUGGCAUAGCGUGACCAAGGUAAGAACAACCUUAGAAAAGAAUGGCUAUGAGUAAAGAAUAGUCAAGGAUAAAGAAGGACUAAGAUUAAAAAGUAGAAUUAAAGUAAUCUACUUGGUUGGUUGCAUAGUUUCAUUUUGCAUAUUGAGAGGCAUGACAUGUAGUUCAAUAUUGAGUAAACGUAUAAAAAUCUGUUAUAUGUUAUUGGACUAACCUGUUGCAGUGCCUCAUUAGACCUAUUGGUUGAACUUUUCCCUUAGGUGGCCGUACCCACUGGGAACCAUGGAGUUGGUUCUCACCCCACGUUGUCACCCUACGUUGUUUUGGGGUGUUUCAGGUUCACACGUAAGCGCGCGGCGGCGCGAGGCGAGGGCGUAGCUCUGUAGUUAGCGCUCCACCAUCGAGACCAGAGAUAGCGGUACACUGAGUCGACCUUACUUAGGGAUGCAAGGAAAUGAAAAGAAUCAAGUUGUAAUAAUAUUGUUAAAGCUAGAUUGUAUUUUGAAGCUAAACAGAAUGUAAAAUAUAUGUGAGUUGAAUGAUUGUAAUAACUUAGUUGUAUUUAUGUUUGUGAUACUUUCUUAUGCAAUCUUUGAUUGAAUACUACUCCUGGUUGGAACCUCGCGUAUUGCUUUGUAUUGAUUGCGACGCCUUAAAUGUACAAGGGAGACUCUGUCCGCGAUACAGGAAAAACGUGUGCCCAAACCGACCAAAUAGGCGAGCUCGGGGCGUGACAGAUAAGAUGGUAUCAGAGCAUAAAAAGAACACAAAAACAAUAAUAGAAAUGAUUUAGUUGGACCUAGAAGACCCUAGGAUAUUAAAUCAUAGGAGAUAAAUAAUAUUUAUAUAUAAAAUAUUACGUAAUAAUAUAUUUAUAUAAAAAUGUAAUAUCAUAUAUAAUAGUUGGACCUAGAAGACCCUAGGAUAUUAAAUCAUAGGAGAUAAAUAAUAUUUAUAUAUAAAAUAUUACGUAAUAGUAUAUUUAUAUAAAAAAGUAAUUAUAUAUAUAUAUAUAUAUAUAUAUAUAUAUAUAUAUAUAUAGAGUGAGGCUACUAUGCUAUCGGAAGCACGGAGCCUUCCGUGCUUCUAGCUCGUUUUCGAUGUUGCGACUUUCGAAUCGUCGAUCGGCUCCGUUAAACUUNGGCGUGACAGAUAAGAUGGUAUCAGAGCAUAAAAAGAACACAAAAACAAUAAUAGAAAUGAUUUAGUUGGACCUAGAAGACCCUAGGAUAUUAAAUCAUAGGAGAUAAAUAAUAUUUAUAUAUAAAAUAUUACGUAAUAAUAUAUUUAUAUAAAAAAGUAAUUAUAUAUAUAUAUAUAUAUAUAAUGGAAGAGGAAGAGAGAGUCCACCGUGGACUCUCUCUCUCACGCGGGUCCACGAGAUGAAGAUGAUCUCGUGGACCGCAUGCGCGCAAGGCCCUAUGAGCCGCGCGUUUUUGAGACCAGUUUUCGUUUUCCGCGAAAACCCGGCGGAAAACGAAAAUGAGGUUUUUUUUCGAGAAUUUGUAAAACAACUUUUCCGAAAAAAAAAAUUUACGUGCAACCAAACAUCGGGAAAAAAAUUUUCGAUCGAAAAAAAAUUUUCGGACCGGUUUUACAGGGAACCAAACAGCCCCUAAAGUUUAAAAGUUGAAUAAUUUAUCUUUUCUUUAUUUCCAUAUAUAAUCUUAACAACCACAUAAAAAUUUCAACAAAUCACAUAUAAUCCUUAUAACUUAAAAUAUUUUAACAAUCUAUCUAUAUAAUUUUAACCAUAAAUAAAAUUUAAUGAUCUACAUACAAUCUUAACAACCUCAAAAAAAAUCCUCCGAAUAUAUAAAAAAAAUAAUAAUAACAAUAUAAAAACGGCGAAUUAUUCACCGCUUUCUAAAGACGGCAUGUUUCUCAAGUUAAUUAGUUGCCCAAAUGAAAUUUUGAAAGGAUUAUUUGGCAAAUUAGAAAUCGUAACGGAGUUACUGUGUAAAAAAGUCCAUUUCACUACACUGAAUCUGCCAUUUCUUCCCAUGCACCCUUCAUAAAUAACUCUACAUUUGUUUUCUCACUAGCCAGUGAAUCUGCCAUAUAUCUUUUUUUGAUUAAACAGGGGUAUACCCAAUCUGCCAUAUAUCUUUUCUUGUACUUCUAUUCAAUUUCCACCACCCAAACAAGCCACAACUCUUUGAGGAUUUAAAAGUAGCUUAUUAAAAGUGGUGGAAAUUUAAACUAGAUAGGGAUAGAUGGUGCAAGAAAAAAGGUUUGAUAUUACUGAGUUAGCUUCAUUCCUAGCACAACACAUGCAGUUUACGACUGAUUUAAAUUUUAUUUCUGUUUGAAUCUCAAUCCUAGUUGACUCAGGCAUAUAUACUUGGAUAGGCAUUUGGGGCUACAUUAUAAAUUGAUAGUGCGAUUGUCGAAGAGUUCAUCUCUGUUACUAUACCUUGCAACCAACCAAUUACAGUUCAACAAUUGCCUUCUCUUGCAUAUUAUAUUACGUAUCAAAAUAUAAAAAAAAAAAAAGAAAAAAAAAUUCAGAUAAAGGCUCUCAAGAUUGUAGAACAACACUGUGCGAGAAACCUUAGUGGAUGUGUAGUCAUGCACACUGUUACCGAUGAGUUAGGAUAAAGCCGCAUCCAUUGAUUAGAACCUGUGGACAUUUUGGUGCAUGCAUAGGUGGAAGCACUUAUCAAGCAAAUAUUUCUACGUGGGACCUGCAUGAAUAUUCUUUUGCACUGCAUGUUUGUGUAUAGUGGAAGGGUAAGUAUACCCUAUACUUCUAAGACAUAUAACAAUCACUAUAUAUGAAGGCUUGACAACAUCGUAUAAUUAAUAUAUGGGAUCAAUUCUUUUUAAUUGAUGACUCUAAGCUUGAGAACAGGACAUCUAUGAUCCCCCCUCCCCACCAAAAAAGGAAGAAACAAAGAAAGAAGGAACUGCCGAAGAAGUAUGGGAGGCCUAGAUAUUGUUUUACACCAAGUACGAUAUAUAUAUUUUUUGUCUAAUCUUUCAAUAUAGAAUUCUUUUUGUCAAGUAAGAUUUUGUUGCAAAUGUUGAUAGGAGAACCUGUUGCUUCAAAAUACAACAUUUUGGGGAAACAAAAGGGGAAAAAAAAAAAAUUUCAAAUUAAAGCAGUUCAUUUCACACGCUUUAUACAGUACUAGCUUGAUUUUUUUUCUAUAUUGAUUGUUGCACAUAGCAAAAAGAUAAAUUCAACCUAUACAGGACGGUCAAUUUGGUGCCUAAGGUACAAGCUUAAUACCAUAAUGAAUGCUUGGUAAUACCAGUUGGUAAAUCUAUGCGAUUAUAUUUAAGACUUAAGAUUAGCUAGGCCCAGAUUAUGUUGAAUAAACAUCUUACCUUGCUUUUUGGCUAAUUUGUUAGAUUAUACUUCUGUUGGUUUUUUAUUUCUUGUUUUCCAUUUUCUCUUAUUUUAUGGCAUGAACUGUUUCAUUUGGACCACCACCAUUUUCUUAUUAGGGUGUGAAAAAAAAAGGUGCAGUAACAGGACCACAAUAUUCAUCUCUGACCUGUCAAAGUAAAGUCUAACUUGUACUGUUCACUUGAUAAAAUAUUAAGAUACCAUGGAUAUAGUUAGGUUUCCCUUCACCUAAUCCUAUAGUUCACUGAAUCUGUGGCAUCAACGUAGGGUUUUAUAUUCGUAGAGUGAUCUUGGCUUGCUAAUCGAUGCAUUUGGAACAUAGUGUUGAGUAAUUAAGCUUAAAUAAUGUGAUUAUAUCUCUAUUAGCUAUUAGGUACAUCAAUAAGCCUUGAACCCCCCACUUUCUCUUGGAGUGUUGUAUAGCCUGAACAAGUAAGUACAAGGACCACCAUGUUCAUCUCUGAAUGGUUUAUAAAAAGGUUUUGUAUCUUACUACGUUUACAUUAUCCGCAUCUUUGAGAUUACAAGUAAUCAACAGGAUAGUUAUCGGUAGAUAUAGUUUAAUUUUAUUACAUCUCUUAAUUUGCUAUAUCUGUUUGUUCUUUCUGGUUUAAUUAUAUAUGUCAAGCAGGUAAACUUGAUACCCUUCUUUCCUAAUGCCACCAAUUAAUUUGUCCUUUGUUAGUUCUGAGAGUAACACACAUGUUAAACAUAUAGUGCCCGGCCAACUAAAAUUUUGUUGAUAGAAAAUUAGUCCUUGUUAACGGAACUCUUAAUGAUAAGAUUUUAUUAUAUUUUUUAGUGUUAUCCAAAAUAUCAAUUUAGUAGGAAAGGGGCCCCAAGAAUAUAUAUUAACACUCUUACGCCCGUGCAUAAUGGAUGUACUAACAUUCCCACUCACAUGCAUAAUAAAUAUGAAUGACAGAUAGGAUUGAUAGGCGAGGUUGGAAAUCGGGACUUAACCCAUUAUAUAGUGAGGGAACUUAAACUGUUAAAUGUCAAAGAUGAGGAUUAAAUCCACAACGUCACAGAAUGAAGGGGUUUUAAAAUAGGCUCUGAAACAUGUUAUCUAAAAGAUCGAUUUAGUAGAAAACGGGUUCAAGAAUACAAAUCAAUAGUUAGGACAUAUUAGACGAAGUACAACAAAGUACUUAAGAAUAUAUAAUUCAGUGCAUUAUCCUUUGAGGCCCGUUUGGCACUUGGGAUUGGAGUGGAUAUAUAGGAUUGAAGAAGAUGACAAAGCGAAGUUGGGGGCGAGAGAGGGUUUAGUGGUUUGUAUAUGUCAGAGAUCAUAACAGUAGGGGUCAGCCCUGUAGGAUAAUAAUAAGGUUUUUUGAAUAAUAUCUAGUUUAAUCCUAGCCUUUGCGGUCGAAAUGGGUAGUCCCAUCUGGCUGACUGGAUUCGAUAAUCUCAACCUCUUGUGAAAUCUAAUGUCUUUAAAAGGGGGAAAUGGAUAAGAAGUGAUUAGAUAUUUGACGAAAUUAUCUCCGCACUCAUAUUCUUUUUUUAAUUUGGAUAUGAAUUUGGAUUUGGAUAUGUGUCAAAUGCUAAACUUUCGUACCAUAUUCGCUAAAAAUGGAUUCAGACACAAUCGAAUUUUUUAUCGAGUUCUGAGAUGGAUCAGAUUUGAUUCGGAUAUUUUUCAGAUAAUAAAAUAUACUAAAAUGCAUAUAUGUAUAUGAACUAGAAUUUGCACGAAAAAGAUACAAUGCAAUUUAAGUUUUAUUCUCAUGUUCAAACUUUGUAUUCCUACGGUUUGUUGGGUAAGAUCUGAAGGCAUGUUUGGUUCAAAAUAAAAAUCAAAAUUAGAAUGAAAAUCUGAAUAGAUCAGAAUGGAAAAUGAAAGGCUGAAAUCUCCUAAUUUCUUUUGGUUAAUAAUAGAACCGAUAGCAAUCUUCAAGUUUGAAUCAUGGGAUUAGUGCAAGAACACAAGGUAUCUAUUUUAAAAUUUGGAAGCUCAAGGAAGUUAUGCCACGUGUUAAACUAUAUAUUCAUCUGGCGUGCUUUUGUGGAUGCUCUUCCAGUGGGCAUCAAGCUUGCGGAGCGUAUACCUCAUUUUGGAGACUCUUGCCCACUGUGCUAGGAGCAGUCUGAGAUGAGGGAUCAUAUGUUCUUUCAUUGUCCAUUAAGUCAGCAAGUGUGGUUUGCCUCGCAGGUUGGUUUGCGCACUGCAUAGUCAUCACUAACUUUCAUAGAGUGGUUGGAUGCACUCAUUAACAAUGAACGAUUUUACGAGAUUCGGGCAUACUGCAUGCAUGUGUUGUGGUCCAUUUGGAAGGCACGAAAUGAUUAUAGUUUUCAGCACAAGAAAUUUUUGUGCUCGGAAGUUUUGAGGAAUGCGAGAAUAUGGACGAAGCUCUAUAGCAAAGCUCACCUUCAGCCUCUCCAUAUUCCUGAUCCGUCGACUAUCAAUUCUUUUUCACGACCAAAUACCAUCUGUUGGGUGGAUGGUGCUUGGAAGGAAAAUCGCUCGGGUGGAAUUGGAUAUUUAGUCGUAGAAGAGGAUGUCGUCAUUUAUUGUUGCGCAGCACCUUCCUUCGAUUCAGAAACUGCCCUUGCUGUUAGAAUUUGGUUAGAUUUGUAGUUAAAUCCUAUUUGGAUAAGAAUUAAUAUUUAAAUCUGUUUGAGAUAAAUUAAGAUUUAAAUAUUAAUUAGAGGAUAAAUCUAACUAGAUUAGGAUUAAUAUUUAAAUCUAUUAGAGAUUAAUUAAGAUAGAUUUAGAUAUUAAUUGGAAUAGAAAUCCUAAAUAUAUUAGGAUUGGGGUACGUUUUAGUGGAGCUUUAUAAAUAGCUCUUUGUUGGUUUGUUUUUGAGGUGAAGUACGGGAGAGAGAGAGAGAGAGUCUCUUGGGUUGCCGUACCAGAGAGAGAAAAAGAGAGAGAGAAAGAGAGUUAUUUAAUUAUGCUUUGAGUGCACCUAGUGCACGGGUGCAUGUGAAGGAUUGUCUUCUUUAUGGAUUUAUAGAAGACGAGAGAAUGGUAGAAAAGAUUCAGAAAGAGGGCUCGGGUUGUAGCUACUCUGUGCAGUAGAGGAGUCAGGUGUAAUCUUCUCUUAUUUAAUGAAUCUUAUUUUACUCGUAUAUUUUCUAUUUUUUGGUAUUUCUCUCUUUUAUGAUUGUAUCAGCUUUUGCUGAGGAGACGGGUUUAUGGUAAAAAUCCGAUUCGACAUUUCCGUUGCGGAAUCCCAACAAUCAAUACCGAAUCCACAGCAAUCGGUAUCGGAGCGGGUUGUGGAUUCACGAGAUCCGGUACCGGGGCGAGUACCGGAUUCCCAACAAGUGGUAUCAGAGCCGAAGGUUACCGAUCUGCGGGAGAAAUCGACAAAGAUGGCCACGAAAUUCGAAAUCGAGAAGUUCGACGGCAAGAACAAUUUCGGAUUAUGGCAAAUUAAAGUACGAGCAAUCCUCGUACAGCAAGAAUUGGACGAGACAUUGAACGGGAAGGAGGCGAAGCCGGCGGAGGUCACGGAUGCGACAUGGACGAAGAUGGAGCGGAAGGCACUGAGUACGCUUCAUCUCUCAUUAGCAGAUGAGGUUCUUUACAACGUAGCCAGUGAGACGACACCAGCGAAGUUGUGGAAGAAACUAGAAGAUCUGUAUAUGACCAAAUCCUUGACGAACAGGUUAUAUCUGAUGCAGCGAUUGUUUACGCUGCGGAUGCAUGAAGCGGCAAGCCUACAUGAUCAUCUGAACGAGUUCAACAAGGUGGUGGCCCAGUUGACCAGCAUCGGAGUCAAUCUGGAUGAUGAAGACAAGGCGUUGAUCCUACUAUCUUCGCUACCGACGACAUAUGAGCAUCUGGUGACCACGUUGCUUUAUGGCGAGGAGUCCAUAAGCGUGGAGGCGGUCACGGCGGCGCUUCUCUCGAACGAGAUGCGGAAGAUGACUCAGGAGUCCGGCACACAGAGCAGGGAUAUAGCUUUGGUGGUGAGAGCGAAGAAGGAGGCGACAACAUCAGCGACCGGAUAUCGACAGAAGAAACCGCUAUCUGAGGUAGAAUGCUUUUACUGUCACAGGAAGGGGCAUAUCAAGCGCAAUUGUCGAAAACUUCAGGAUAAUCUGAAGGAGUUAAAGCGACAGACGGAGCAAACUGUCGUGAACCAGGAUGAGACGGUAUCAGCGACGGCGCAGACAGCAGAAUCGGAGAUGAUCGAUUCUGAUGUGCUAUAUGCAGCGACCGGAGGUGCGAAAAUUUCGGAUGACGCGUGGGUGCUCGAUUCGGCGUGUUCUUUUCACGUAUGCCCGGAGAAGGAGUCUUUUGCAACCUAUAAGACGAUCAAAGGUGGAAAAGCUCUAAUGGGGAACGGGACGACGUGCAAAGUUUUGGGAGUCGGCACGGUGAAGAUCCGAAUGCACGAUGGAGUCGUGAGGACGCUGACAGGUGUGCAACACAUUCCUGGAUUGAGACGAAAUUUGAUCUCGUUAGGCGCGUUGGACUCGAAAGGUUGUGAUAUUUCGGCUUCAGGUGGAGCUAUGAGUGUCCGAAAACGAGAUCGGAUCGUAUGCGAGGCGAACAAGCGUGGGAACUUAUACAUUCUGAACGGGAGCACAGCCAGAACGGGAGCGAAGACGGUUUGGGUUCCAAAAGUUCGCGGAUGUGCAGUUGCUCGAGACGGAGCGACGGAUGCGGCGACAUCGAGCGGAGGAGACAAGCUCAAGGUGGAGCUUGCAUGGUGAGCUCGACGUAGCGGUUGAAAAUUACAAAUCAAACCAAGGUGGAAAAUGUUAGAAUUUGGUUAGAUUUGUAGUUAAAUCCUAUUUGGAUAAGAAUUAAUAUUUAAAUCUGUUUGAGAUAAAUUAAGAUUUAAAUAUUAAUUAGAGGAUAAACCUAACUAGAUUAGGAUUAAUAUUUAAAUCUAUUAGAGAUUAAUUAAGAUAGAUUUAGAUAUUAAUUGGAAUAGAAAUCCUAACUAUAUUAGGAUUGGGGUACAUUUUAGUGGAGCCUUAUAAAUAGCUCUUUGUGAGUUUGCUUUUGAGGUGAAGUACGGGAGAGAGAGAGAGAGUCUCUUGGGUUGCCGUACCAGAGAGAGAAAAAGAGAGAGAGAGUUUGCUUUUGAGGUGAAGUACGGGAGAGAGAGAGAGAGUCUCUUGGGUUGCCGUACCAGAGAGAGAAAAAGAGAGAGAGAGAGAGAGAGAGUUAUUUAAUUAUGCUUUGAGUGCACCUAGUGCACGGGUGCAUGUGAAGGAUUGUCUUCUUUAUGGAUUUAUAGAAGACGAGAGAAGGGUAGAAAAGAUUCAGAAAGAGGGCUCGAGUUGUAGCUACUCUGUGCAGAAGAGGAGUCAGGUGUAAUCUUCUCUUAUUUAAUGAAUCUUAUUUUACUCGUAUAUUUUCUUUUUUUUGGUAUUUCUCUCUUUUAUGAUUGUAUCAGCUUUUGCUGAGGAGACGGGUUUAUGGUAAAAACCCGAUUCGACGUUUCCGUUGCGGAAUCCCAACAAUCAAUACCGGAUCCACAGCAAUCGGUAUCGGAGCGGGUUGUGGAUUCACGAGAUCCGGUACCGGGGCGAGUAUCGAAUUCCCAACACUUGCUGCAAAGAUACGAGCAUGUACUGAGGCGGUUAAGUGGCUUCUAAAUAAUCGGCCUAAUAUCAAGUGCUCAAUUUACACAGAUUGGACCACUAUCGUUCGUUCCUGUUUGUUUAAGGACCAGCAUUUCCCGUUUUCACUACAAGAAUUAGAGCGUAUUGCUUCACUUCAACGCCUUUUGGACUCCAAUAAUAAUAUUCUUAUAGGUGGUCUUCUAGAUAUAGCUCAUUUUCAUAAUGUGUUGAUAAACUAGCUAAAUAGGGCCUUGGUUCCCAGGUAGCUUCUAAGAGUUUGAGAAGUCUGUAAUUAUUUAUCCUAUUGAAUAAAUGCCUUAUGGCGUUUCUUUUCAAAAAAAAUAAUAAUAAUAAUAAUAGAAAUCAGACUCAAAAUCAACCCAUUUUUAUUGUUUAGUUAAGUGAAAUUUAAUUGCCUCUAAAAAGUGUUAAAAAUAGAAGUAACAAAACAAAAUAUAAAAUUCAAAUCUAAAGUUUAAAAUUUGAAUUUGAAUUCAUAGUUUCUAUUCAUAUCUCCUAUGUAAGUUACAAUUCACAAUUUAUAUAUAUUUUUUGAAAUUUUAGUUUAAAUUUGGUUUCAAAAUAAUAUAUAUAUUGAAUUCACAAUUAAAUCAUGUUUAUAUUUGAAUUUCAAAAAAUUUAAUUUUAGUUAAAAUUAAAUUCAUAAUGAAAAUUUGAAUCCAAAUUUGAACUGAUACUUUGAACCUAAAAUAUAAAUUUAAAUAAAAAUUCACGAUUCAAAUUCAAGUUCAAAGUCAAGAUUACAACUUUGUCAAAAUUCAAACAUCAAUCUUAUAUUAAAAUUUAAAAAUUUAAAAAUUUAAAUUUAUAUUUUAGUUCAUACUUUAAAUUCAAAUUUGACAUUAUAAUUAAAUCUAAAUUUAAAUAUAUAUAUAUAUAUAUAUAUANCGGUUAGGAUAAUAGUAAUAUCUUAAGGUUAAUGGUUGGUUGGUUAAAUAGUAAAAUCUAAUUGAUGAAAAUGGUCAAAGAGGUAGAUCUAACGGUAGAAAACUUACAAGCACUAAGUGCUUUACACUUUUAAAAGCAUCAUAGCCAGAUUCCAUAUAUAGAUAUAUUUAAAUUUAUAUUUACAAGCACUAGGUGCUUUAUGCUUUUAAAAGCAUCAUAGUUGCAUUUUGCAUGCUAAUUAAGCAAGCCCUCUACUACAUUACCUCAUUGUCAUUUAUUCUUUUACAGGCUAUAAUUACUAACAUAUAUUAAUUUUCCAAUAUCCAGAUUAGAUGUUUUCGGGCAUCUUUUGCAGUUUUUGAGACCUGCAUCUGUAUCCGACCAGAUAAAGAUAUUUCCUAUUCGGAUAGGGAUAAAAAUGGAAUACAAGCACGGAUAUGAUAAGGUAUUAUUCGAUCUAUUUUCACCCGCCGUAUUUCCAAGUUGAACAACUCCUUGUCUCUUAACAUCUUCUUCCAACUUAUCGAUCUUAUCCGUUUCAAUUCAGGGUGCCAAAUGUUACGGUGAUGGGCCACCAACAAAUACAUUCUAUAUACUUAUUAUGGUAUAUAGAGGUUUCCACAAAAAGUAAAAUAGAAAAAACGAGAGAGGAAGAAGACAAAUCAAAGAAUCUGGUACGUUGUAAUGGAAGCAAAACAAAAUAACUUUAUUGAAGAAAAUAACUCAUCACCAUAUGCAACCUUCGGCGAGCGCUAAUUAAUUAUGGCGACUCCCGGCUUCAUUAACCAAAUAAUCCCGACCUAUCAAUUUAUAACUAAUUAUAUAGAAUCCUACUCUAAUUAGAUUUCAUCUUAACCAUCAUUUAAAUAAUAACCGAAUAUAUCUUAACCAUAACCGAAUAUAAUAAUGGAUAAUAUCAAAUAAUCUAAUCCUAAUCUAAUUAUCAUUAUCUCUAACACUCUCCCAAUAAUGCUAAUGUCCUUCACACCGAUCUUCUCUCGGCAAAAUAUGAAUUUCUCCAAUGGUAGUGGCUUUGUGAAAAUAUCGGUCAUCUGCUCCUCGGUUGCGUACUGUAUCAACUCGAAUCCUUCUCGUACUUUUUCGAUCAUCAACUGAAUCUGCCCAACCACUAUUAAAACAAUCAAAAUAAAAAUCGUUAGGAUUAGUAUACCACAACCGGUGGUCUCUUGUUCCUUUCAAAUCUCUCAAUAUCCUUUUCGCCUUAUAUAUCCACUUAAAUCCAAUAACUUCUUUAUCUAUAGGCGAUUCAUCAAACUCGUAGAUAUUAUUUUUCCUUAACGCUGCAUUUUCUUUGUUCGUCGCCUUAUACCAAUCAUUAGAUUUUGCUACCUUUUCGCAGUUUUGUGAUUCUCCACAUUGUGAAUACAUGCAUUGUUCGUAUAUUUCACUAAGUGAUCUUACUUUUCUUAGCAUCGUCUCUGGAGAAGUUUAUAGUGAAAUUCGCGGUGAAGCUUAUGGUGUUGUUUCCGUACUUGUCGUACUUUCACCAUUGUUUCUAUUUUCAGUUGCAGUUCCAUUUUCGAAUAUCAGAAGUGGAUUAUCCUGCACUUUUGCGCUCCAAUCCCAAGCUUUUUGUUCAUCAAAUAUGGCAUCACGAUUUAUAAUUAAAGAGUUAGUAGCAGGAUUAUAAAAUCGAUAAGCUUUACUUCUUUCGCUAUAUCCAACAAAAAUACACUUCUGACUAUUAUCAUCCAAUUUUUGCCUAUUUUGUGAUGGGGUAUGAACAAAAGAAACUAAUCCAAAAAUUUUAAAGUGUUUUACCUUCGGUUUCCACCCCGUCCAUACUUCAUAAGGUGUAAUAUUCUCCAGCGCUAAAGUUGGACUUCUAUUGAGAAUGUAUGCUGCAGUAGAUACCGCUUCUGUCCAAAAUUUGUUCGGGAGAUUUUUCGCUUUCAACAUGCUUUUUGCCAUCUUGACUAAACUUCGAUUUUUGCGCUUUGCAACACCAUUCUGCUGAGGUGUGUAACUGGUUGUCAACUGCCUGUGGAUACCAUUAGCCUUACAAAAAUUUUCAAACUUGUUAGAAAUAAAUUCUCCCCCUCGAUCUGUACGGAAGGUCCUAAUAUAAUAACCGGAUUCGUUCUCAACCAAAUUUUUAAAUUUCUGAAAAACAUCAAAAGCAUCGGAUUUAUUUUUGAUAAAAUAAACCCAAGUCAUCCGGCUAUAAUCAUCCACGAAAACUACAAAGUAGUAAUUGUUGCUGAGCGACGGUGUCUGCAUCGGUCCGCAUACAUCUGCAUGUAUCAAUUCUAAUGGUUCUUUGGCUCUUCUUUUGCUCUUUCUCGAAAAAGAGUCCCUGUGAUACUUUCCUAGCACACAACUUUCACAUACAGAACCAUUAUUAUGCACCAAAGGCAAACCAUCAACCAUAUUCUUUUUAUGUAAUAGAUCAAGUCUCUUAAAACUCAAGUGACCAUAUCGAUAGUGCCAUAACCAAUCAUCAUCUAGCACUAUUUUCAUUGCAACAUGAAUAGGAAAAACUUUAUUUUCUGUCAUCGGAACUUCAAAAAGUAAAUUCUUUUUAUCUUUAUCUCCAUAAAUUGUGCACUUAGAAUUUUCAAAAAUAAGCGAAUGGCCUUCUUUCAAAAAUUGACCCACACUAAAAAGAUUGGAAUUCAAUCCUGUAACAUAUAAGACAUUAUUUAUUUUUUGCAUUCCAGAAAUAUUUACCGCAAUUGUACCUCUUCCGUGCACGUCAUGGACAUAGCCGUCACCCAUUGUCACGCGGCCUUUAACCGAUUUGUCUAAAUUAAUAAAGUUUUCUUCUUUUCCUGUCAUGUGACUGCUACAACCACUAUCGACAUACCAAAUAUUAUUAGUAGUUUUUUCUAAUGAAUGACAUGCAAAAAGUACAUUAUCGUUUUCAUUCUUUUCACAAACAAAAUUCGCAUUCUGUUGUUUCAAUCGACAAAAGCGCUCGAUAUGGCCAAAUUUUUUACAAUAAUAACAUUGAAUAUUUUUACGAUUACGGGAUUGAUCGUUACCUCCGUAGGUUCUCUGAUUUUGAUUACAUGAUCUUUCAUCGUUUCUGUUGUUGAAAUCACCUGAUCUACCUCCGCGGCCUCUGCCCUGGCCACGACCACGACCUCUACCAUAGCCACCGUAUGCUGAAGCUUGAUAAUUAGAAGAAUUGGCACCAUCUUUUUCACUGCUUUUCGAUUCACUUUGAAAAGCAUGCUCAGACAAAUUUUCUGUUCUAUCUUUUCGUUCUUCAUGUGCUAAAAGAGAACUAAGAAGUUUGCUAUAAGAUAAUUUAAAUAAAUCUUUUGCCUCUUCUAUAGCAGAAACAACAUCACCAUAUUUUUUCGUUAGACUUCUUAAAAUUUUUUCGACUACUGUUUGAUCAGUAAUUUGUUCACCAUAUGUAUGCAUCAAGAUAACUAAUUCCAUAACNAAGAGAACUAAGAAGUUUGCUAUAAGAUAAUUUAAAUAAAUCUUUUGCCUCUUCUAUAGCAGAAACAACAUCACCAUAUUUUUUCGUUAGACUUCUUAAAAUUUUUUCGACUACUGUUUGAUCAGUAAUUUGUUCACCAUAUGUAUGCAUCAAGAUAACUAAUUCCAUAACUUUAGAAUAAAAGGUAUGAAUAUUUUUAUUUUCUUGCAUAAAUGAAGCUUCAAAUCUUCUUUUUAAAGUUUGAAUCUUAACUCUGAGUACCUUUUCGUUACCUUGGUAUUCCUUCUGUAAUAUAUCUCAUGCUUCCUUCGAUUUUGUAGCGCCGGCAAUGUGGAAAAAUAUCGAAUCGUCAACUGAUUGCUGAAUAAAAAAAAGCGCCUUUGCAUCUUUUUUCAGAUUCUCUCCGGUUGUUUCCUUGCAUCCUUUUUCAACAAAAUCUCAUAAAUCUUAGAAUCGCAGCAACGUCCGCAUCUUCACGCACCAAAAAUCAUAAUUGUCCCCCUUGAAUAUCGGGAAUCCUUGUGCAACUCCAUUAGCGCUGUUAAACGCUAUCAACACCUUCUCCUCUCGAAAUUCAGGCUCUGAUACCACUUGUUACGGUGAUGGGCCACCAACAAAUACGUUCUAUAUACUUAUUAUGGUAUAUACAGGUCCCCACAAAAAGUAAAAUAGAAAAAAUAAGAGAGGUAGAAGACAAAUCAAAGAAUCCGAUACGUUGUCAUGGAAGCAAAACAAAAUAACUUUAUUGAAGAAAAUAACUCAUCACCAUAUGCAACCUUCGGCGAGCGCUAAUUAAUUAUGGCGACUCCCGGCUUCAUUAACCAAAUAAUCCCGAGCUAUCUAUUUAUGACUAAUUAUAUAGAAUCCUACGUACUCUAAUUAGAUUUCAUCUUAACCAUCAUUUAAAUAAUAACCGAAUAUAUCUUAACCAUAACCGAAUAUAAUAAUGAAUAAUAUCAAAUAAUAUAAUCCUAAUCUAAUUAGCAUUAUCUCUAACACCAAAAUCGGCACUUAAGAAUCACAACUUCUUGGUAUGUUUAUUAUAAUUAUAUUCUUAAUUUUUACCAUUCUAGCAAUAGUAUGAUUGUAGUCAAGAUUCUUAAGCAAGCUUUUCGAUAGUGGGUCUCAUUGGUUGGCCCUCUUCUAUAUAUGAAUGGAGCUCCCAUUAUAAUAGUGGAAAUUUGUUGGUGUUAUAUAUAUUUGUUUUUUUUUUUUUUUUUUCAAUUGGGCAGUUUUAAUCAAAGUAAAAUUCCAUCAGUAACACUAGUUCUCAGAUUUUUGUACCAUCAUCUACUUAAUUUUGCUCCUUUUUCUUUGGGAGGUUGGAAAGAGAGGGUGUUUGGAGUUGUGGGAAUUUAACAAUCAAAAGGCUGGUGAGUCAUGAAGCACCAGUUGUUUUUUUAAUUAAAAGAUAUUAUUAAUUAACUGAAUGAGAAUUCGAACAACUUGGACAAAAAUAAUGCUAGGAUAAGACCCCUGAGAGGAGAUCACUUUCUUAUCAACACCUUUUCUUGUACUACUUUUAGCAACCUUGUGUAGUACUAUUCCUCCAUUGACCUAGUUAUCAUGCAUCCUUCAUUAGAACAAUAGAGAGAAAGCAUCUGAUUUCUAAAUGUUGUCUCCUUAAUGAUCAAAUUAACAGGUGAAAAAUAUAGGAUGAAAAUAAAUUCUUUGUAUCAUUUCAAUAGCAAGAAAGCUUCAUUUUCUGUAAUAAGGAAAGUAUCUAUUCCCCCUUUAGAAGACAAUAUUGUGUUGGAUCGUUUCUCUCUUAGAAUAAUUGUUCGGUGGAAUUAGAAUUUUUAUUGACCAGCUACUGGUUUUUAUUGUAUUAUUAUUCCCACAUAUAUAAUUCAUAAUUAUUAACCCAAUAAGUUUUUAAGUUGACAAUCACCUCGAUCUAUCUAAAAAAAAAUGUUUGAUAUUUGGAGUCAUAAUUUAUUUAGGUUAAAUGUUUACUAAAAUAGAUUUUAUAACUAGCAUCAAAUUAUUUGCUUAUGAUAAAUUAGUUUCCUUUUCCCCUCUGUAUUUGUAUUUUUUUUUUUUUUUUGAGAAAAAUGUAGCAUGUUACUUGUUUCAUUUCUUUUUUUCCUCUAUUCAUUUCUUAAUGGUUGUAUUUGGUGAUUAACUUAAAAGUACAAUAUUGGGUGGCAUUGAAGGAAAAGGAGGAGAAGAAGCUCUUCUACUGUCAGCAAGGAAAAAUAGUUUCAUUGCUUAGACAUGUUACACAACUACAGUGCACUGUUACAAGGCAUGCAUAAUACUAAUUCUACAUAAGGAACAACACACCUCUCUCUCUCUAAAGAUCUCUCUCUCUCUCUCAACUGUGCACAGGAAGAGAGAGAAGCAUCUCAUACUCUUCAUCAUCUAUCCUCCACAGAGCUUCAGACCAGUACUCACAUACAGGAGAAGGCAAAGAAGAUGGGCCCAAAUCACUACAACAUCCUUCUUUCAAUCCCUCGAAGCUCGCCCCAUCGUCCAUCUGAUCCAAUGCGCCAAUCUCGCUCCAAAUCUGAUCCAUUGUGAAGCCCUCAUCCUUUUUGAGCUCGACGGUCUCACUCUUCUUGUCUCCGAUGUCCAUAUUCUCUUCGCUAUUCGAGGAGGAAACAUUGCUCGAGGACGACGAAGGCGACGAGUUUGACACCGAUGUUCUCGUCGUCUUCCUCUCUUGCGCCUUCUUCCGCAUCCGGGUCCUCCAGUAGUUCUUGAUCUCGUUAUCGGUCCGCCCCGGAAGGCUUUGAGCAAUUCGAGCCCACCUAGAAAGAAAAACCCCGAUCUAAACCACCAUAACCAAAAGUAGGGACAAAGCUAGCUAGUGAUAUUGGCAGGGCAGCCAUCUUAUAGUUAGUUAAGUAGGUCUGAUAUUAUUUGCUCUAUCAAUAACAACUUCUGCUUUGUAGAUACUGCUAAGAAAACACUUCAAACCAUACCUAUUUCCCCAUUUGUCGUGGAGUUCGAUCACGAGCUCUUCCUCCUGGGGUGUCAUCGGACCGCGCUUUAGGCUGGGGUGGAGGUAGUUAACCCAGCGGAGCCUACAGCUCUUUCCUGAUCUACUGAGGCCUACAAACAUCAAGCCAUGAAAGGAGGUUAAACCCGAAAAUCAGAUCAAAUCCUUGUCCUCAUAGCCCACGUAGUUAGUUACUAAGCCCUUUUAAGUACAAGGGCUAUUCGAUGAUCCCCCUCCGCCGUGCAAACCUGAAACCUUUGCUAAGUAAUCCCAACGACGUUCACCGAACAAGCGCACAAAUCGUACCAGUUGGAGGUCUUCCUGCUCACUCCACGGGCCCCUCCGUGUAUUACCUUCUCUUGCCGCUACCAUCACCGUCGCUCGUAUCGACUCUCUCUCUCUCUCUCUCUCUCUCUCUCUCUUGAUCAGCUGCAAUGAACUCUCUAUGUAGGGUGAGGGCCUUUUGCCACCACUUGCAUUUUAUAGGCACUAGUAAAAAUGGCUGGUACACGACCCCUUUCUUUAUUAAAAGUUUAGCGUAGCUUUUAGGUCUCUCUAAGGUCUUAAAUAUAAUCUACCGACUGUCCCUAGAGCAAGUGGCAAAGGUUUAGUAGUUGGUAUCUGAGAUCCAAGUUCGAAUCCUAGUUGAUUCACAUUUCCAGCUAAGUUUAUUUCUAAAUGAAAUAAACGAAGCAGGUAGCGUACUACAUAUCUCUCAAAAAAAAAAAAAGAAAAAAAAAAAGUCUUAAAUAUAAUCUGAAGUGGUUAGUAGUACUCGUCGGUACUGAUUUUGUUAGCUUAUGAAUAGAAAAGGGCUCAUAUCAGCUUAUUCUUAUUGGUUCUUUAGUUCUUGGUGGUGUUAUGGCACUAGUAAAAUGGCCAAGGUAUGGCAUACGAUCGACCUCUUUUCUUUAUUAAAAGUUUAGUGUAGCUUUUAGGUCUCUCUAAGGUCUUAAAUUUAAUCUGAAGUGGUUAAUCGUACUCGUCGGUACUGAUUUUGUUAGCUUCUAUAAAUAGAAAAGGGUCCAUUCCAGCUUAUUCUUAUUGGUUCUUUAGCUCUUGGUGGUGUUUCUUGGGAAUUUUUUUUUUUAAUUCUAGAUAUGUAUAGGAAUAAAUAUUCAUUAUCAAGUGCUUUAGUUCUAAGUGCUACUUUAGUGUGUACCUGAUUGAGAAACGUGACAUUGAAUUGUUUUUUUUUUUUUUUUUGAGAGAGAGAUAGGUAGCUCGCUAUCCGGUUCGUUUAUUUUAUUUAGAAAUAAACUUAGCUGAAAAUAUGAAUCAACUAAGAUUCGAACUUGAGUCUCAGGUACCAACCAUCAAGUCCUUCGCCACUUGCUCUAGGAAAUACUUAAAAGUUAGGGUAGGGUUUAGUCGAGAGAUAUUUUUUUCUGCUCAAUUUUGGACUAGAAUAUCACCAUUUUCUAUUGUGUGUUGGUAAAAACAGUGGAGAUAUACUCAAAAAGAGAUAU